GAUGGACGCUGGCGGCGUGCCUAAUACAUGCAAGUCGAGCGAACGGACGAGAAGCUUGCUUCUCUGAUGUUAGCGGCGGACGGGUGAGUAACACGUGGAUAACCUACCUAUAAGACUGGGAUAACUUCGGGAAACCGUAGCUAAUACCGGAUAAUAUUUUGAACCGCAUGGUUCAAACGUGAAAGACGGUCUUGCUGUCACUUAUAGAUGGAUCCGCGCUGCAUUAGCUAGUUGGUAAGGUAACGGCUUACCAAGGCAACGAUGCAUAGCCGACCUGAGAGGGUGAUCGGCCACACUGGAACUGAGACACGGUCCAGACUCCUACGGGAGGCAGCAGUAGGGAAUCUUCCGCAAUGGGCGAAAGCCUGACGGAGCAACGCCGCGGGAGUGAUGAAGGUCUUCGGAUCGGAAAACUCUGUUAUUAGGGAAGAACAUAUGUGUAAGUAACUGUGCACAUCUUGACGGUACCUAAUCAGAAAGCCACGGCUAACUACGUG
rnacentral:rRNA from 1 species